AAUCAACGCUGGCGGCGUGCCUCAGACAUGCAAGUCGAACGCGAAAGUUUCCUUCGGGAAGCGAGUAGAGUGGCGUCCGGGUGAGUAACACGUAGGUAAUCUACCUUUGGGUGGGGAAUAACAACCGGAAACGGUUGCUAAUACCGCAUAAUGCAGCGGCACCACAUGGUGACAGUUGUUAAAGCGGGGGAUCGCAAGACCUCGCGCCUAAAGAGGAGCCUGCGGCGGAUUAGCAGUUGGUAAGGUAACGGCUUACCAAGGCAACGAUCCGUAGCCGGCCUGAGAGGGCGGUCGGCCACACUGACACUGAAAUACGGGUCAGACUCCUACGGGAGGCAGCAGUCGGGAAUUUUGGGCAAUGGGCGAAAGCCUGACCCAGCAACG
rnacentral:rRNA from 1 species